GAAAUUUCCUGACAGACAGGAUGAGCAUCUGAGGCGAGAGUUUCAUUUCCUCUGCUGUCCAGCUCGGCAUCUCCCGGGGAAGAGAUGCCUGGGCAUCUUGCCUGAGAACCUUGUCUGGAGAAUGCCCUGAAUAAGAAUACCAACUACUCAACUCCCUGACCUUCGUAGUCAAAUAAACACAUUACAGCCGGCAUGCUUUCAGAGUCUGUACACCAUGGCAACUGCUGGCCUGGGGACCUGGAACUGGACAGCUGCCAGGAGGACUCCAUUAAGGAUGAGACGACAACCUUAAAGAACACCUUGGCAUGACUGAGAAUCGGCCAGAGGGUCCACACCAGAGAAUUUCACUACUCUGAACCUACACUGCUCUGAGCAUGCUUAGGAACUGCUCAAACUCAGCUUCUUUACAACUGUGCAACUAGGUCUACAAUUAUAAAAUAAAGUUUACUUUUAAAAAAGA